rnacentral:rRNA from 1 species
UGGGGAAUAUUGCACAAUGGGCGCAAGCCUGAUGCAGCCAUGCCGCGUGUGUGAAGAAGGCCUUCGGGUUGUAAAGCACUUUCAGCGAGGAGGAAGGGUUCAGUGUUAAUAGCACUGUUCAUUGACGUUACUCGCAGAAGAAGCACCGGCUAACUCCGUGCCAGCAGCCGCGGUAAUACGGAGGGUGCAAGCGUUAAUCGGAAUUACUGGGCGUAAAGCGCACGCAGGCGGUUUGUUAAGUCAGAUGUGAAAUCCCGCGCUAACGUGGAACU